rnacentral:rRNA from 1 species
AUUGAACGCUGGCGGCAGGCCUAACACAUGCAAGUCGAGCGAGCGGCGGACGGGUGAUGAAUGUAUGGGGACUGCCAGAUCGAGGGGGAUAAGUACUGGAAACGGUAACUAAUACCGAAUAUUCACGGAUAACCCAUAUGGGAUUAGCUCGUAGGGUAGGUAAUGGCUCACCUAGGCGACGAUCCCUAGCUGGGCUGAGAGGAUGAUCAGCCACACGAGGAAGGAGACACGGCACAGACUCCUACGGAGGCAGCAGUGGGGAAUAUUGCACAAUGGGCGCAAGCCUGAGGCUGCCAUGCCGGGUGUAUGAAGAAGGCCCUAGGGUUGUAAAGUACUUUCAGUCGGGAGGCGUUACCGAAAGAAUAAGCACCGGCUAACUCCGUGCCAGCAGCCGCGGUAAUUC